rnacentral:lncRNA from 1 species
AUGCUGGGCGGACGAUGAUCGCGGAGAAGGCUGAAUCUCAGGGAUUGGAGCUGGGAAUCGAUCCGGAUGAAGAGGAUGGCAAUGACGCGGUUGGGAUGCUGGCUGCACGCACGAUGAUCGCGGAGGAGCUGGUCGCUGGCUGCACCGCGUGGGACUCGUGGCUGGAACGGGAGGGAGGACGCGAAUCUCGGCCGUGAUGCACUGUAGGGGGGAAGAAGAUGAACAGUGAAGUUUUUAUUUAUUUUAUUAUUUUUUUUGUAACACUGUUCAUAUGAACAGUGUUUUCACGGAACACUGUUCAUAUGAACAGUGAAUCCAGUAAUUUUUUCCAAAAUUACUGUGGAUAUUUAAUUAUUAUUAUUUUUUAAAUUAUAAAUUUUAUAUGAAGGCAGGUAAAGAAUUGGUUAGGAAUUGGCUUUGGAUUUGAGGUGGGUCAUGAUCGUUGAUUUGCUUGAACUUGUUCUCGAGCCCAA